GUCUCAGGUGUUCCCCUUCUCUGAUCAGGACAGAACAGACACCUCACCAUGGAGUUUGUGCUUGGCUGGGUGUUCCUGGUUGCUCUUUUAAAAGGUGUCCAGUGUGACGUGCAGGUGGUGGAGUCUGGAGGAGACCUGGUGCAGCCUGGGGCGUCCCUGAGACUCACCUGUGUGGCCUCUGGAUUCAACGUCCGUAGCUAUGGAAUGAGCUGGGUCCGCCAGGCUCCAGGAAAGGGACUGCAGUGGCUCGCAUAUAUUUAUGAUGAUGGAAGUAGCACAAGCUACGCAGACUCCAUGAAGGGCCAAUUCCCCAUCUCCAGAGAUAACUCCAAGAACACGGUGUAUCUGCAUAUGAACAACCUGUGGGCCGAGGACAAGGCCACAUAUUACUGUGCAAGAGACAGGGUGAGGGGUCCUCGCUGGGAGCCCAGACACAAACCUCCCUGCAGGAGGGGAUCAGAACCACCAGGGGGUGCACACUAUGCACAAUUUUGCUUUGUGUUGCCAGGAGCAGAUUUAGAAGUCCAUGCCAUCACUGGGGUGGACCCUGGUGGGCACAGCAGUGCUCCUGUGGAGAAGGAGCUCUGA